UACAGAGGGUGCGAGCGUUGUCCGGAAUCACUGGGCGUAAAGGGCGCGUAGGCGGCCCCAUAACUCGUGCAGUGAAAGCCCGGGGCUCAACCCCGGGUCGGCGGUGGGAACGGGGGGGCUGGAGCCGAGCAGAGGCGGGCGGAAUUCCGGGUGUAGCGGUGGAAUGCGUAGAGAUCCGGAAGAACACCGGGGGCGAAGGCGGCCCGCUGGGAUAGAGCUGACGCUGAGGCGCGAAAGCGUGGGGAGCAAACAGG
rnacentral:rRNA from 1 species